GCCAGCAGCCGCGGUAAUACCGGCGGCUCGAGUGGUGGCCACUUUAUUGGGCUUAAAGCGUUCGUAGCUGGGUCGUUAAGUCUCUUGGGAAAUCCGGCAGCUUAACUGUCGGGCGUCUAAGGGAUACUGGCGAUCUUGGAACCGGGAGAGGUGAGGGGUACUUCGGGGGUAGGAGUGAAAUCCUGUAAUCCUCGAGGGACCACCUGUGGCGAAGGCGCCUCACCAGAACGGCUUCGACAGUGAGGGACGAAAGCUGGGGGAGCAAACCGGAUUAGAUACCCGGGUAGUCCCAGCCGUAAACGAUGUGCGUUAGGUGUAUCGACGACCACGAGUCGUCGAGGUGCCGAAGGGAAACCGUGAAACGUACCGCCUGGGAAGUACGGUCGCAAGGCUGAAACUUAAAGGAAUUGGCGGGGGAGCACCACAACAGGUGGAGCCUGCGGUUUUAAAUUGGACUCAACGCCGGGAAGCUCACCGGAUAAGACAGCUGAAUGAUUGCCGGGCUGAAGACUCUGCAUGACUAGCUGAGAGGAGGUGCAUGG
rnacentral:rRNA from 1 species